UACAGGCAUUAAAAAUUAGAAGCAAUCUCCAGGAGUUUUGGCGAAUCACAGUCGAUGUGUGUGGCCUGGCAUUGAUUUUAUUGAACACAAUUUGUCUCUUAUUGGCUAAAACUGCCCGCUCCUUCAGACAGUCCAAAUGUACAGGUCCGAAUUAAGAGUUUGCCCGAUUACUCACAAAACGUCUCUGACUGUCAAUCCUGGCUUGUUUACCGUUUACGCCGGCUUACCGCGACUCGACCACAUUCUCACAAUUAUUUGUAAAUUUUUUCCUCGGGUAUCCAAAAAAAAUUAUUAUUCGGAGACUUGUUAAAACUUUUCAGUAAAAUUAUUAUUUUGACUUGUAGUUGAGAAUUUUACGUGGAAACUAAUUUAGAAUUUAUAAAUCCAAAGUCAGCGAAAGAUUCGUGCCGACUAUGCUCCCAAUAUUUAAAAAAAUUUCAUUGAAAAAAAGAUAUAAUGCAUCUUUAUGUUUUUUAGGAUUCUAUUAAGUUUUUUAGGAGAAUUAAAUAUUUUCAGAACAUUCCCGUUUCAUCAUUUUUGUAAUUCAAAAAAGUUUUUUUUUAAAAGGAAUCUAGUAGGGCUUUAAUGCUUUAUUAUGAAGCAAUGUCAAAAAUGUUUAAACAAUUUCUGAAUAACUGCAUAAACAUUGUAAAUUUAUAUUUCACUUUGUAAUUUUUGAACGUGACAAACCUAAAAUAUGCAAGCAAUUGUGCAAAUUCAUUUUGGUGUUAAUGAAAUAUAUCGAAUAAAUUUGAAGAGCUGAUUCUGUUCCAUGUAGACACUAUGAUUUUUGAUUCGUUUUGCCUGUAAUCGAUUCCUACAAUACAAGUAUUUAUCUUUCAAAACACCAUGUUGUUAGCUCUGUUAUCUUUGUGUUCAAAUUAAAUAAAUGUGUGCUUUUAAAUAAAAAA